AUUGAACGCUGGCGGCAUGCCUUACACAUGCAAGUCGAACGGUAACAGGUUAAGCUGACGAGUGGCGAACGGGUGAGUAAUAUAUCGGAACGUGCCCAGUCGUGGGGGAUAACUGCUCGAAAGAGCAGCUAAUAGCGCAUACGACCCGAGGGUGAAAGCAGGGGAUCGCAAGACCUCGCGCGAUGGGCGCGGCCGAUAUCAGAUUAGGUAGUUGGUGGGGUAAAAGCCUACCAAGCCAACGAUCUGUAGCGGGUCUGAGAGGACGACCAGCCACACUGGGACUGAGACACGGCCCAGACUCCUACGGGAGGCAGCAGUGGGGAAUUUUGGACAAUGGACGCAAGUCUGAUCCAGCCAUGCCGCGUGCGGGAAGAAGGCCUUCGGGUUGUAAACCGCUUUUGUCAGGGAAGAAACGCUCUGGGUUAAUACCUCGGGGUAAUGACGGUACCUGAAGAAUAAGCACCGGCUAACUACGUGCCAGCCGCCGCAGUAAUAC
rnacentral:rRNA from 1 species